rnacentral:lncRNA from 1 species
AUGACGGUCCAGAAAAAACUCUUCCAUGUGUUCAGGCCCAAGAGCAACAUCAGGAGGAGAGACAGCAGGGCACAUUUAUUAGAGAGCAACGUCAGCAUACAAGCAGAUUAUGACCAGGAUGUUAACAGGAACCACCUGUUGGAUAACAACACCUUCAACACCAACACCGAACACAACCUGCAUAGUCAUCUGCAGGAGGAUGAGAUGCUUCAGGAGCUAGCUGGGCUUCUCAGGGUUCCCCUUACUGCUGCUUCCUGCUUCCCAGUGGAUGGCUGUAGUUCACAGACACCUGAGUCUAAUGUGGAACAGCACAGAAAAGCUUGUGUGAAUCACCUCAUACAAAUUUCAGCUGCCAAGCGACUCCCAGAGCCACCAGCAGACCCUGACCAGGACCUCCAGCAGCACCUGAGCCACCUGCAGGAGGCCGUGUGCAAUGAGCUCAUACGGCUGGCUCCCGCUUUGGAGGCCAAGGGCCUGAUGGGGCAAGUGGUACAGUGCUACCACUGUCAGAUAUUCAACCACCUGGACUGUCUGCUCCUGAAGGUCAACUCCUUCAAGAACUGCCUCACCUUGAUGGACUGGGUCCUGAAAACUUAUCUGAGUCAGGACAUGCUUGGUCACCCUGACCUUAGAGAAAUGGAUCCUAUAAAACACGUGGACAUCCUGCUGCUCUCAGAAUGGGGGGUGAAGGCCAAGAACAAGCUGCUUGAAAAAGCACAGGAAGAGAUGAGAGUUCAACUGGAGAACAUCCUGCAGCAUCACAGACAGCAAGACGUCUGUGACGGCAACACAGACGAAGCCUUUGUUCAAACCUAUGUGGACGCUAUUGGGUGCAUCGCUGCCAUGCCUCGGAACGCACAACGCAUCAGCUCUAAACUGUCGUACGAAGUCAAAGAGGUUGGUUUCCAAGAGCUGCACAUAUUUGUGGAGAGGUACAGAGAAGAGCAGACCAAAGUUCUCAAGAAGAUGGAGAAAACAGACAAACUGGAGAUGAUACAGUUUUUCAAGACUUUGAAGACGUGUCAGGAACUCAAGAAGCACAUCCAGACUGAAGGAGAAGAAAUCAGUAGCUCGCUUUGUAAGGAAAUCUUGGAAAUGCUUAAAAAAAUAGAAGAUUUGACUCUAGAACUUCUGAGGGGCGUUGUAACAAAGGUGGCGAAGGUACAGUAUCUGCUCCACUGACCACACACACACUGAUGAUGGGCUAAUAUAUGAUAUGUACAUGACAGUACCAUUAAAGAUUUAAAAAUUAAAAAAUUAUUCCAGACUAGAUUAAAUGCCUUUUGUUUUUGUGAACAGAAGCACCUUCAGUGUUACUUCCAGUCAAACAAACAGCAAUUUGUGCUGUUGAUUGAUUCAGUGAGUAGGAUGUUUCCACGUCUGGAGAACUGUGACGAAGUACGACAGGUAAGUUCAAAAUUGAAAUCUAAAACAUCAACUCUUCCAGCUGUGUAUGUGUUUAGGUUCUUCUGCAAAUGCCUCUGUUGGUCUUUGUGUCUCAGACAGUGACUCUAGAAGUCUGCAAGAUCCUCGUCCAUAGUUACAUCAAGUAUCUUCUAAAAACAAAGGUGAAGAAACUGCAGCGGUGCUGGAACCCUGAUGUCGGUGAAGCAGUGAGUAAAGAUGCUGGCUGGUUUCACGCCAUCAUGUCGGACCUG